rnacentral:rRNA from 1 species
UGGGGAAUCUUGCGCAAUGCGCGAAAGCGUGACGCAGCAACGCCGCGUGGGGGAAGAAGGCCUUCGGGUUGUAAACCCCUUUCAGGAGGGACGAAGGUCGGGCGGUGAACAGCCGACCCGACUGACGGUACCUCCAGAAGAAGCCCCGGCUAACUACGUGCCAGCAGCCGCGGUAAUACGUAGGGGGCAAGCGUUGUCCGGAAUUAUUGGGCGUAAAGAGCGUGUAGGCGGUCCGGUAAGUCGGCUGUGAAAGUCCAGGGCUCAACCCUGGGAUGCCGGUCGAUACUGCCGGACUAGAGUUCGGAAGAGGCGAGUGGAAUUCCCGGUGUAGCGGUGAAAUGCGCAGAUAUCGGGAGGAACACCUAUGGCGAAGGCAGCUCGCUGGGACGUUACUGACGCU